CCUACGGGAGGCAGCAGUGGGGAAUAUUGGUCAAUGGAGGCAACUCUGACCCAGCAACGUCGCGUGAGUGAUGAAGGUCUUCGGAUUUUAAAACUCUUUAAGUGGGGACGAAGAAGGUGACUGUCCCCACAGAAUAAGCCUCGGCGAACUACGUGCCAGCAGCCGCGGUAAUACGUAGGGGGCAAUCGUUAUCCGGAAUGACUGGGCGUAAAGGGUGCGUAGGUGGGUUGACAAGUUAGUAGCGUAAUUCCGGGGGUCAACUUCGGAAGUACUACUAAAACUGUUGGGCUUGAGUGCAGGAGAGGUGAAUGGAAUGCCUAGUGUAGCGGUGGAAUGCGUAGAUAUCAGGAGGAACACCAGCGGCGAAAGCGAUUUACUGGACUGUAACUGACACUGAGGCACGAAAGCGUGGGGAGCAAACAGGAUUAGAUACCCGAGUAGUC
rnacentral:rRNA from 1 species